rnacentral:ncRNA from 1 species
UUCUUGGAGUGCCAUAAAAAUUCUUUUAGACAGGAAUAACUGGCUUGUGGCAGCCAAGCGUUCAAGGGACGUUGCCUUUUGAUCCUUCGAUGUCAGCCCUUCCAAUCAUAAUGUAGAGUUCAGUAAGCUUCGGAUUGUUCACUUACUCAUAAGGAAUGCGAGCCGGGUUUAGAUCGUCGUGAGACAGGUUAGUUUAACCUACUGAUGAAAAGUUGUGCAAUAGUAAUUGAACUUGGUACAAGAGGAACCGUUCAUUAGGAUAAUUGGUAUUUGGGCCUGCCUGAGCAGGCAAUGGCCCGAAACUAUCAUCCGUUGGGUUUGGCUGAAUGCCUCCAAGUCAAAACCUGUGCUAGAGCGCGACGAUUACCGCUUUGGACCGAGAGUCUAUUCGUAUUCAACUAGAACUAACCUGUCUAACGACGAUUCGAACCCACAUCUCGUUCCCUGUUACUUGCGUGAACGAUCGAACACUUGCUGAAUUCUGGUUUAGUAUGAUAACAAGAGCCGGCAUGAAAGGAUCAAAAAGUAAUUUCACUCUGAGCAAUACAGGCCAGUCAGUGACCCUUAGAACGUUUUCAUGAAUUUUCUUUUUUAACUCCUGGGUUUUCUUUUC